CCUACGGGUUGCUGCAGUGGGGAAUAUUGGACAAUGGGCGAAAGCCUGAUCCAGCCAUGCCGCGUGUGUGAAGAAGGCCUUCGGGUUGUAAAGCACUUUCAGUGGGGAAGAAAGCCUUGGGGCUAAUACCCUCGAGGAAGGACAUCACCCACAGAAGAAGCACCGACUAACUCCGUGCCAGCAGCCGCGGUAAUACGGAGGGUGCGAGCGUUAAUCGGAAUUACUGGGCGUAAAGCGCGCGUAGGCGGUCUGAUAAGCCGGUUGUGAAAGCCCCGGGCUCAACCUGGGAACGGCAUCCGGAACUGUCAGGCUAGAGUGCAGGAGAGGAAGGUAGAAUUCCCGGUGUAGCGGUGAAAUGCGUAGAGAUCGGGAGGAAUACCAGUGGCGAAGGCGGCCUUCUGGACUGACACUGACGCUGAGGUGCGAAAGCGUGGGUAGCAAACAGGAUUAGAUACCCCGGUAGUC
rnacentral:rRNA from 1 species